GGGUGCUUCUCUGGAGACUUUGGGAGGUGGAGAAACUUAGGGGUCUCAAUGACAUUAUACUGCUAUGGGUCAGCUUUGCCCCUUCUUUACCAAUCAGUGACCACUCUCCCCAGGCCAGCCCCUGAGUGAGGGCAGUGUCCCAGAGAGGGCCGAGGUACUGUGGAAGACCCCAACCUUGGGGAGAAGAUCCAGUCACCUUGGGAAAUUUUCUCCCCUUUGGGUCAGACUGAAGCCCUGUCACCUAAUGGGCCCUAGGGAAUGUGGAAGUGACGGAAAGGGCGUCACGCUCAUCUGCCUUCAACACUCUGGGCCCCGGGAAUGAUCUCAACACCUCAGAAAACAUAAGAUCAGAAAGCUCCUUCAAUGGUCUCCCAGCGUAGCGAUACACUUAACAUUGGAUCAGAAAGCGGGGAUUAUUUCCCUGGGGCUUUGUCUCUGGGCCUUGUACAUCAGUUUAAGUGUUCCCAAGGCUGCAGAUCUGUGGUGUUAGAUCUGUGUGGGGAGGGCAAUCCAUCUAGCAGAGCCCAGACAAAGGAAGGCUUCUGAAAAGACCCUGAGGCUUCUUCUUGUGGCCCAACCCUGUCUGGAUGCUGAUGAGACAUUGUGAGGGGCCUCACUUUCCUAGCUCUGUGCCCCCUCCACUCCUUUCUGGAACAAUGCAAGAGACCCCAGAGCCUUAGACCGCUGCAGUUCAUCUUGGCCAAGGUUCACCCACUCCAUGGAGACAAGGCCAUUCUGUAAGGACUUGGCAUUUCCUGCUCCCUGUCUCACCGCAGAGGAAGACAGCCAGAGACAGGAACCCCAGCCUCAGGGAACUUGAGAGGGUGAGGCGAGAUAAUCCACUCCUAAUCUGGGAUGUGGAAGGCAGAAGUCACCAGUGCUGGGAGGAGAUGGAUUCUAAGCUCUAGGCACAGAGAAAUUUAAAUAACAGAUGUUUAAACAACCUUCCCUGCAAGCCGCUGGUGCAGUGACCCCUCUGCUGUGAUGUGUUGCAGCUUAAAAAUAGCCCACAAUGAACCGCUCUG